UACAGAAGUCCCAAACGUUGUUCGGAUUCACUGGGCGUAAAGAGUGCGUAGGCGGUCGGAUAAGUCUGAUGUGAAAUCUUCGAGCUCAACUCGGAAACUGCAUCGGAAACUAUUCGGCUAGAGGAUUGAGGGGAGACUGGAAUUCUCGGUGUAGCAGUGAAAUGCGUAGAUAUCGAGAGGAACACCAGUGGCGAAGGCGAGUCUCUGGACAAUUCCUGACGCUGAGGCACGAAAGCUAAAGGAGCAAACAGG
rnacentral:rRNA from 1 species